rfam:Trichobilharzia regenti genome assembly, scaffold: TRE_scaffold0009490
AGUUAGCUGACGAGUCCCAAAUAGAACGAAAUGCGCGUUAUCCUGGAU